GUAAAGUUUUAGGAUCCUCAAAAACAUCCUUAUACUGAAGAAGAAGAGUAUGAACUGCUAGACUAGUAGUAGCAGAUUGAGAAGAAGUGGUGCCAUCCGGAUAGAAAUCCAACAAAGCCAAAGCCCACACCUCAUUGCCAGAAAACCACUUGCUCAACUAGACCACCGACAAUUCAGUCACCGUCUGCUGAACCGUAGGUAACAGACCUUGCAACUGCACCGAGGAGCCUUGAUAAGAAAAUCCUAGAGACUUUUGAUUCCAAUUACAUGUAAUAGGACUAUUCUGUUUCAACCAAUCACACCCUAGAAUGGCAUCAUAAGGCCCCAAAUCCAAUACCCUCAUGUCAGUGGUGAAAGUGUGUCCAUCACACCACCACUCUACUGCCUUCACCAUAGUAGUGCUCACCGGUUCUUGCCCACUAGCAGUCUUGCCUCGAAUAGUGGAAAUAGGUUGAGGAAACAACCCUGCUUGUUGGACAAAUGUGGAAUUGAUGAAAGUUGCUGAACUAUCUGAAUCCACCAACAAUAGAAACACCUGGUUUUUAACCAAAGCACGCAAGCGAAUGCUAUCCACUCCUCCAGUCCCAAAAACUGCAUGAAUAGACAAGCUGCACAAGUCCACCACAGAGUGAUCCUCCUCAUCCAACUGCUGUAAAACUUCAUCUGAUAAUUCUAAAGCCAUGUCAUCCACAGCCAAAACAUUAAGCACCGCCGGGACUCGUUUUCCACAUUUAGCAGCAUGUCCAACAUCAAACUUGUCACCACAAGUAAAACAUAAACCAUGAGCCCCACGAUAAUCCCGCAAUUGUCGUUCCUUGGACAACCCCACACCUUCUUGAGAGUCAGACGGUAGCCCUGGAAUACCUCUUUCCCCCCAACAGUGGACUGAAACUUAGGCCGACUCUUGUCCAAAACAUCCUGCUGUAAGUUGGCCAAAAGAACAACACGAUUCACCGUAGUUGGUAAUUGACAACGCACAGGACCUUGAAUCUUGCACUUCAAACCAUUAACAAACUGAGUGACAAAGAAAAUCUCAUCCAGCUGAGGAUUAUGGACAGCAGUACUAUAACG
rnacentral:lncRNA from 1 species